rnacentral:rRNA from 1 species
CAGGAUUAGAUACCCUGGUAGUCCGCGCCGUAACCGAUGGGCGCUAGUUGUGGGGACCUUCCACGGUUUCUGCGACGCAGCUAACGCAUUAAGCGCCCCGCCUGGGGAGUACGAUCGCAAGAUUAAAACUCAAAGGAAUUGACGGGGACCCGCACAAGCAGCGGAGCAUGCGGCUUAAUUCGACGCAACGCGAAGAACCUUACCAAGGCUUGACAUAUAGUGAAAAGCGGCAGAGAUGUCGUGUCCGCAAGGGCGCUAUACAGGUGGUGCAUGGUUGUCGUCAGCUCGUGUCGUGAGAUGUUGGGUUAAGUCCCGCAACGAGCGCAACCCUCGUUCUGUGUUGCCAGCAUUUAGUUGGGGACUCACAGGAGACUGCCGUGGUUAACACGGAGGAAGGUGGGGAUGACGUCAAAUCAUCAUGCCCCUUAUGUCUUGGGCUGCACGCAUGCUACAAUGGCCGAUACAAAGGGCUGCAAUACCGUGAGGUGGAGCGAAUCCCAUAAAGUCGGUCUCAGUUCGGAUUGAGGUCUGCAACUCGACCUCAUGAUGUCGGAGUUGCUAGUAAUCGUAGAUCAGCAACGCUACGGUGAAUACGUUCCCGGGUCUUGUACACACCGCCUGUCACAUCACGAAAGUCGUAACACCCGAAGUCAGUGGCCCAACCGUAAGGAGGGAGC